UUUCACUUGAAUGCUACAGUUACAUAAAAGCCCCAGAGCCGAGAAAUCUCACCAGCACAACCGUGGAUGACGGUGGUCUCCUACUCCACACUCUUUGCUCAAGGUUUCAGAUGUAUGGCCGUUUUACCGAGUGGGUGAAGGAAAGAAAAGAAGAAAAGGAGAUGUGGAGGAGGGUGACACACAGACAGAGGCAACAGCUCUCUGUAUUCUCAAGGAUGCUAAUAUCCAUUAGGAUGUGGGUAUUUUUACUGUUGAAGAAAUGCUGAGACACAGACACUUCAGCCCUUCCAAGAAAGAAUAAAAGCUACUUCUGCCUCUU